UACGUAGGUGGCAAGCGUUGUCCGGAAUUAUUGGGCGUAAAGCGCGCGCAGGCGGUCCUUUAAGUCUGAUGUGAAAGCCCACGGCUCAACCGUGGAGGGUCAUUGGAAACUGGGGGACUUGAGUGCAGAAGAGGAGAGUGGAAUUCCACGUGUAGCGGUGAAAUGCGUGGAGAUGUGGAGGAACACCAGUGGCGAAGGCGACUCUCUGGUCUGUAACUGACGCUGAGGCGCGAAAGCGUGGGGAGCGAACAGG
rnacentral:rRNA from 1 species